rnacentral:rRNA from 1 species
GAUGAACGCUGGCGGCGUGCCUAACACAUGCAAGUCGAACGAAGCAACUGGAGGAAGUUUUCGGAUGGAAUCCGGUUGACUGAGUGGCGGACGGGUGAGUAACGCGUGGAUAACCUGCCUCACACUGGGGGAUAACAGUUAGAAAUGGCUGCUAAUACCGCAUAAGCGCACAGUACCGCAUGGUACGGUGUGAAAAACCCAGGUGGUGUGAGAUGGAUCCGCGUCUGAUUAGCCAGUUGGCGGGUAACGCCCACCGAACCGACGAUAGAUAGGGGUUCUGAGAGGAA